rnacentral:rRNA from 1 species
AGAACGAACGCUGGCGGCAUGCCUAACACAUGCAAGUCGAACGAGACCUUCGGGUCUAGUGGCGCACGGGUGCGUAACGCGUGGGAAUCUGCCCUUGGGUUCGGGAUAACAGUUGGAAACGACUGCUAAUACCGGAUGAUGUCUUCGGACCAAAGAUUUAUCGCCCAGGGAUGAGCCCGCGUAGGAUUAGCUAGUUGGUGAGGUAAGAGCUCACCAAGGCGACGAUCCUUAGCUGGUCUGAGAGGAUGAUCAGCCACACUGGGACUGAGACACGGCCCAGACUCCGUACGGGAGCAGCAGUGGGAAUAUGGGCAAUGGGCGAAAGCCUGAUCCAGCAAUGCCGCGUGAGUGAUGAAGGCUUAGGGUUGUAAAGCUCUUUACCGGGAUGAUAAUGACAGUACGGAGAAUAACGCCCGGCUAACGUCCGUGACCAGUAACCG